AGCUGGUCAUAGUAGUUCAGUUGCACCGGGAACAUGCAACCACUCUAUUAGCAAAGAGUUGCUUCAGGAUAAGGAUAGAGUUGGGCCCAAUAACUGUUAGGUGAGGGACCCAAUGAUGGCCUUACACCUGCUUGUGAAUGGUGGACAGGCUUAACUAAGGAGUGUGAUCAAUAACUGUUAGGUGAGCCCACAUGACUUAGGGACCAAGUCGCUGCAACAUGCUUAGAGAAGCAUCUGGACAAAGAGUUAUCCAUGCAUUGGUGUGCAUGUUACCAAUAACUGUUAGGUAAGGUACAUGGCAUCGGUGAGACCG
rnacentral:lncRNA from 1 species